rnacentral:rRNA from 1 species
AACGAACGCUGGCGGCAUGCCUAACACAUGCAAGUCGAACGAGACCUUCGGGUCUAGUGGCGCACGGGUGCGUAACGCGUGGGAAUCUGCCCUUCGGUUCGGAACAACAGUUAGAAAUGACUGCUAAUACCGGAUAAUGACGUAAGUCCAAAGAUUUAUCGCCGAAGGAUGAGCCCGCGUAAGAUUAGGUAGUUGGUGGGGUAAUGGCCUACCAAGCCGACGAUCUUUAGCUGGUCUGAGAGGAUGAUCAGCCACACUGGGGCUGAGCCACGGCCCAGACUCCUACGGGAGGCAGCAGUGGGGAAUAUUGGACAAUGGGCGAAAGCCUGAUCCAGCAAUGCCGCGUGAGUGAUGAAGGCCUUAGGGUUGUAAAGCUCUUUUACCAGGGAUGAUAAUGACAGUACCUGGAGAAUAAGCUCCGGCUAACUCCGUGCCAGCAGCCGCGGUAAU